GCCGAGAUGGCGGAAUCGGUAGACGCAGUAGACUCAAAAUCUACCGCCCGUAAGGGUGUGCGGGUUCGAGUCCCGCUCUCGGCACCA
rnacentral:tRNA from 1 species